AUUGAACGCUGGCGGCAUGCCCAACACAUGCAAGUCGAGCGGAUGAAGGGAGCUUGCUCCUGGAUUCAGCUGCGGACGGGUGAGUAAUGCCUAGGAAUCUGCCUGGUCGUGGGGGAUAACGUCCGGAAACGGGCGCUAAUACCGCAUACGUCCUGAGGGAGAAAGGGGGGGAUCUUCGGACCUCACGCUAUCAGAUGAGCCUAGGUCGGAUUAGCUAGUUGGUGGGGUAAAGGCCUACCAAGGCGACGAUCCGUAACUGGUCUGAGAGGAUGAUCAGUCACACUGGAACUGAGACACGGUCCAGACUCCUACGGGAGGCAGCAGUGGGGAAUAUUGGACAAUGGGCGAAAGCCUGAUCCAGCCAUGCCGCGUGUGUGAAGAAGGUCUUCGGAUUGUAAAGCACUUUAAGUUGGGAGGAAGGGCAGUAAGUUAAUACCUUGCUGUUUUGACGUUACCAACAGAAUAAGCACCGGCUAACUUCGUG
rnacentral:rRNA from 1 species